GACACCUGUUGUACUCUUCCAUGUACCAUCUUCUGGAAAACCCCCUUCCACCUACCACCACGCAACUCCAUUGUUCCCUUCACCUACCUUUCAUCCUCUCUCAUCUUCCUCACCCAAUUUCUGAAAUCAUCACCAUCUCCCACUCACUAUUACUGACCCAAUUUCUGAAAUAAUCUAUACAAAUCACAAAUAAAAUAGCCAUUAGAAAGUUGGUAAGAUGUAAAAUCCAGAGAAGAACUUCAGUUUCAUGAGGUAGAUGAGGUAGGCGGUGGAUGCAUGAUUUAUCUAGAGUAGAGAGAAAGAGGUCGAUGAAGAUAAAAAUUGACUACCUGAUGUUGUUGGAGGAAGUUUAACAACAACAUAUGGGCUCAACUCAUCAAGGGAGAGGAAUGAAUCAAUUCUCGGCAUCAAAGUUGUCCCGGUAUUAUACCACUGACAAUCAAUGAUGUUUUCAGAAUUAUAAUUUAUGCAGAUGCUAGAUUACAGUGUUUCAGAAGAUAAUAAUUAGGGUUUGGUUUCAAUCAAGAUUCAGACUUAGCCGACAAUAUUAAUUAGUCUGUCAACAAUACUUUUGGUUUCAAUGAAGAAGAAAACAAAUUACCUGAUGAGGAAGACAUGGUAGAUAACAGUUAUGGAGAGCCUUGAACGUUGUAUUUGCAGACUGCAGUUCUCUCGUUUCUCUUGAUUUUUUUUUCUCAAUAUGGAUUUAAUGAAUUGUAAUUAUUAAUAUUUUAUAUAUUAAGUAUUUAUUUGGUAUUUGGGGUGUAUAAAAAUUGUAUAGUGGUAAUUUGUGGCUGUUUCUCGGCGAAAUUAUAAAGAGGAGCGGUUUUCAGGUUUAA